UACGUAGGUGGCAAGCGUUAUCCGGAUUCACUGGGUUUAAAGGGUGCGUAGGCGGGCCGGUAAGUCAGUGGUGAAAUCUCCGGGCUUAACCCGGAAACUGCCGUUGAUACUAUCUGUCUUGAAUAUCGUGGAGGUAAGCGGAAUAUGUCAUGUAGCGGUGAAAUGCUUAGAUAUGACAUAGACCACCGCUUGCGAAGGCAGCUUACUACACGAUCCUUGACGCUGAGGCACGAUAGCGUGGGGAGCAAACAGG
rnacentral:rRNA from 1 species